UGUUCUGCUGGAGUCUGGAGGACUGCUGGUCGUUAUCUAACUCUCGCCGCUCCUGGGCCUGGCACGCUGGAAGCUAACAAUUUUCCGCAAGGAAAUUUCCACGGCUUCUUCAGGAGUUUUGGUCUCCAAGCACCUGUGGCCAUGAGCCAAGAAAAGCCCCCGGAAUAUAGCGUCUGUGGGGAGGUAACCGGUGCUCUGUUCUUAAUUUGGAUAGUCUCCCAGACAAUUGAAAUCCCUCCAUGGCCGCAGAGGUGAAUAAUACACCAGGUGGUUGGCCACUGGGACUGGAGAGGUUGACCAUAAGACUCAGGGCCAUGGAGACCUCCUCACAAGCUGUUGUCACAACACCAGACUCACUUCACAUGCGAUCAGAGAGCUUUUCCUCGUACUUAUCCUCUGAACUUGACACUGAGAUGGCAGUCCACGAUAUCUUUCUUUCAAGACCGUAGCAUUACUUUGGGCAGUUUAAUUGGGAUAAGGCCUGGAGAUGGAAAUCUUCGCUUUGCCAGAUCAAUUCUUCCUGAAGAGAUGGGGAGUGAUCCAACUAGAGAUUUGACACCAGAUUCCAUGGAGCAGCAUGAAACAAUGAUUUCAUGUUGUGUUUGUGUUCCAUUAGUCUCAACUAUUCUUAUAGGGAGGACCACUUCAAGAUGCUAAAGUUAAGUGGAAGUAAGGUAUACAAAUUCUACCAAAGAGACCCAUUCUGUUCCUUAGUUUGUAAAGAGAGUAUAUUUGGAUAUCCAAUAUAUGCUACUUCCUGGCAGUGGGUCAAAGGAACUUGCAGUUAUAAGAUUUGAUUGUACCUUGCAAUUAUUGUAUGUGUAUGUAAGAUGCUCAAAAAAUAUCAUGAAAUAAAAAUUAAAUUUAUAUUCAA